CAACUACUCCCUCUGUCCCAAAUUUCUUGUCUUAGAUUUGUCUAGAUACGGAUGUAUCUAAUACUAAAAUGUGACUAGAUACAUCCGUAUCUAGAAAAAUCUAAGACAAGAAUUUUGGGACGGAGGGAGUACUUU
rnacentral:pre_miRNA from 1 species